ACUCAAAUGAAUUGACGGGGGCCCGCACAAGCGGUGGAGCAUGUGGUUUAAUUCGAUGCAACGCGAAGAACCUUACCAAGGCUUGACAUCUGGAGAACCUGGCUGAAAGGCCGGGGUGCCGCAAGGAACUCCAAGACAGGUGGUGCAUGGCUGUCGUCAGCUCGUGUCGUGAGAUGUUGGGUUAAGUCCCGCAACGAGCGCAACCCUCGAUGUCAGUUGCCAACAGGUUAAGCUGGGCACUCUGGCGUGACUGCCGGUGACAAACCGGAGGAAGGUGGGGAUGACGUCAAGUCAUCAUGCCCCUUAUGCCUUGGGCUACACACGUGCUACAAUGGUCGGGACAGAGGGCUGCAAGACCGCGAGGUGGAGCCAAUCCCUAAACCCGGCCUCAGUUCAGAUUGCAGGCUGCAACUCGCCUGCAUGAAGGCGGAAUCGCUAGUAACCGCAGGUCAGCAUACUGCGGUGAAUACGUUCCCGGGCCUUGUACACACCGCCCGU
rnacentral:rRNA from 1 species